rnacentral:rRNA from 1 species
UACAGAGGUCCCGAGCGUUGUUCGGAUUUAUUGGGCGUAAAGGGUGCGUAGGCGGCGGAGUAAGUUGGGUGUGAAAUCCCGGGGCUCAACCUCGGAAUGGCAUUCAAUACUGCUUCGCUCGAGUACUGGAGAGGAGGCUGGAAUUCUCGGUGUAGCAGUGAAAUGCGUAGAUCUCGAGAGGAACACCAGUGGCGAAGGCGGCAUCCUGGACCAAUACUGACACUGAGGAGCGAAAGCCAGGGGAGCAAACGGG